rnacentral:rRNA from 1 species
AGUUCGAUCCCGGGUUCAGAUUGAACGCUGGCGGGAUGCUUUACACAUGCAAGUCGAACGGCAGCACGGACUUCGGUCUGGUGGCGAGUGGCGAACGGGUGAGUAAUGUAUCGGAACGUGCCUAGUAGCGGGGAUAACUACGCGAAAGGUAGCUAAUACCGUGUAUGUCGCCCUUCGGGGAAAGCGGGGACUCCUCGGGCCUCGCACUAUUAGAGCGGCCGAUUGGAUUAGCUAGUUGGUGGGGUAACGGCUCACCAAGGCGACGAUCCGUAGCUGGUUUGAGAGGACGACCAGCCACACUGGGACUGAGACACGGCCCAGACUCCUACGGGAGGCAGCAGUGGGGAAUUUUGGACAAUGGGGGGAAACCCCGAUCCAGCCAUCCCGGCGUGCGGAUGAAGGCCUUCUCGCUUGUAAAGCACUUUUGGCAGGAAGAAACGGCACGGGAUAAUACCCCGUGCAACUGACGGUACCCGCAGAAUAAGCACCGGCUAACCACGUUCAGCAGCCAUGGUAAUACGCAGGGCGCAAGCGUUAAUCGGAAUUACCGGGCGAAGCGUGCGCAGGCGGUUCGGAAAGAAAGACAGAAAUCCCAGAGCUUAACUUCUUUGGAAACUGCAUUUUUAACUACCGGGAGCCAGAGAGGCCGAGGGAGGUAAUCGCGUGUAGCAGUGAAAUGCGUAGAUAUGCGGAGGAACACCGAUGGCGAAGGCAGCCUCCUGGGAUAACACUGACGCUCAUGCAAUGAAAGCGUGGGGAGCAAACAGGAUUAGAUACCCUGCAGUCCACGCCCAAACGAUGUCAACUAGCCGUUGGCCUUCGGGCCUUGGUAGCGCAGCUAACGCGUGAAGUUGACCGCCUGGGGAGUACGGUCGCAAGAUUAAAACUCAAAGAAUUCGACGGGGACCCGCACAAGCGGUGGAUGAUGUGGAUUAAUUCGAUGCAACAAGAGAAAAACCUUACCUACCCUGACAUGCUCCGGAAUCCCGAAGAGAUCGGGGAGUGCUCGCAAGAGAACCGGAACACAGGUGCUGCAUAUGUCGUCAUCGUGUCGAGAUGUUGGGUUAAGUCCCGCAACGAGCGCAACCUUGUCAUUAGUUGCUACGAAAGGGCAAUUUAACGAGACUGCCGGUGACAAACCGGAGGAAGGUGGGGAUGACGUCAAGUCCCCAUGGCCCUUAUGGGUAGGGCUUCACACGUCAUACAAUGGUCGGGACAGAGGCCAACCCGGCGAGGGGAGCCAAUCCCAGAAACCUGAUCGUAGUCCGGAUCGCAGUCUGCAACUCGACUGCGUGAAGUCGGAAUCGCUAGUAAUCGCGGAUCAGCAUGUCGCGGUGAAUAUUGCCCGGCCCUGGCAUGGUCACCCCGGGCCCGGUCGCUAAUGAUGGGAGUGGGUUUUACCAGAAGUAGUUAGCCUAACCGUAAGGAGGGCGAUUACCACGGUAGGAUUCAUGACUGGGGUGAGGUCGUAACAAGGUAA